rnacentral:lncRNA from 1 species
UAGAAACACGGUGGGUAGGAAAAACUCCCUAGAAAGGCCUAGAGUAGGUGCAUCCAAACUUUUGACUGGUACUGAAUUUAAAAUGUAAUGUAUAAGAAUUGUUCUAUUUAGAUGGAGACAAAGUUGAUGAUGUGUUUGCAAUGUCAGUCUUAAUUUAUAAAGGCGACUGCCUUUUGUGGAGUACCUUUCAGUUGCUUUCCAUCCGGGAAUUAGAACGCCUCCCGGGCAGUUGCUAUGACAACCGAGAAACGAUCCCCUCGCAUUCCCUCUCCCCUCCCCCUGGUUCCUCGGCAACAUGUAACACAAAUUCAGGAAAACACCCAAUCCGGAGGACCUUUGUUGCUCUCUUGUUCGUGUGCACGGAACAAUUAUUUCAGGAACACAACAAAUGCUGCGUUUUAUAAUCUUAUUGGAGUUCUGUUCACUCUCAAGGAUCAUCCUUAUUUUAUAAAAUACAAGUUGCAACACCUAAAAAUAUGGAGACUCUUCCUUGUAUAAAUAAAGGUGAUCCUCGUCUAAAGCUGAAAGUGGAGAAUAGAAUGAAAAACAUUUUUGUAACGCAAUUUGAGGAAACUAGACAAGAAGAUGAAAAUGUCAAUCACAUACCUGUUAUAACAGAGACCGCUAGCAGAGUCCUGGAGACAGGAGUGAACACAUUACAGAGAACCCUUGUCCUGAAGAAGCAGGUGGAGGUGGAUGAAGUGGAUAGGCAGCUGGCACAGAAACGACAGGAAUUCAAAGGCCGCAUGCAGGCCCUUGCACAGAGGAAGGCAGAGCUAGAGCUGAAACAGCAGGCGACUAAAGACAGAGCUAAGAAAUUUGAGAAGUUUGUUGAGGACAAUGAGGUAAAGCGCCGUCGGGCCCUGAAGAAGUACCAGGCAGCGAGGAAGCAGAACGAUCUGAAGCAGAACGAGAAAGAGGAGUUCACUGAACAGCUGGAAAAACUGCAGGCCAGGCAGCAGUAUUUAAAGGACAGGGUGACCAAGUAUGAAAUGUACGAAGACUACAUGAUGAAAAUGUUAGAUUUUCUCCCAGAGAAUUACCUGGAGUAUGGGGCAGACUCCCUGGUGAUGCCCAUCAUCCGGCGCCAUGAGACCCUGUCGCUCACGCAUCAGGACCUGGUGGAGCGCCUGGGCCAGCUGGUGGAAGAGCUGGAGCAGGGCCAGCGCAACCUGGACAGCCUGAAGCAGGAGCACAACACCAACAAGCUGAUGAUGAACAGGGAGCUGUCUGAACUGCAGACCCAAUGGGACAGAGCCAAGGAGAAGAACAACCAAACUGAGAUGAAACUGAUGAUGCACCAAGGCCAGUCCAGAGAUCAGGUUGAGGAAGUGGGUUGCCUGCUGAUAGCUGUGAAGAACCUUGCAGAGCAGUGCUACUUACAACACUAUGGGCCUCUGGAAGAGAUAGACAUGUUGACAAUGAUGGAUAUGGUAAAGGAAUACAUUCUGGAGAGGUCAGACAUUGAGAUGAGAGCAACACGACUGAUAGACUCAGGCACCACAUUGACGAGUGCCACAGAGCACAGAGGAUCACUGAAAAACAUUAACAGUAAAACACAACUGAAGAGCCCCAGCAAGACCAGUGGGAGGAGUGGACUGUCUAGUUAAUCAAUGCCGAACAGACCUUUUACGAGUUUGUGGAGAAACACACAAAUACAACCAUGUCAGUGCACGCACGCACGCACGCACACAGUAAAGGAUGUGAGUGCAAUAUAAGUUACUUUCAACUUGUUGUAAUAGUGUUAUAAUUGUAUAGUUCUUUGCGGUGAUAAGUUAAAGUUGCUGAUGAAGGAAAUUGCUGUGGUUGUAGUUCCAAAGAAGUUGUACAUGCAUUUCUCAUAUAGCCUAAUUGGAUGAAUUCAAAUAUUCAUUUGUUUGCUUGAUUUAUUUCAGAAUAUUACAAGUUCUCUUUGAAAUUAUGAAUAUAUACAGUUGAAGAUGGGUUGUGGCUGUUGUUUUUUUUAAAACAAUAAGAUUGUGGAGUUAAAUUGCAAAACAUUUACCAAGUUGAGGGAAGUUCCUAUGGUGGUUGCAAUCCACCGAAGUUUGAGAAUACUACAAUAGUAGGCCUACACAGACAAAUCUAGGCCCAUUCGAACAAAAAUAAUAAAUGUACCAAAGAUACUGGUAACUAACGUUGACCCUUUCGUCUGUGAAUGUACUGUCCCUUUAAACACAAAGCACGUGGCAGUUCUAAAUAUCUGGUUGUUGUGGUUGGUACUGUUGCUUGAACAUUUCAUCUAUUAUGUCUUUCGAUGUUACAUUUCAUUCCACUUCUUAUUGCGUACAACAGUUGUAUUUUACCACGCGCUUAGCCUUGCGAGACAGGAUGACAAUUUGUGGAAAUAUGUAUUUCUACUUAGUUAUCCAUGUUUAUCUUAGUAGCAUGCUAACC